GAUGACGGGAGGGAGAGCAGCCUGGGGUGAGGUAUUGUGUGCUGUGCCUCACGUGGGUGGCGUGUGUGGUCCAAGCGUGUGAGUGGACACGUGGAUGUGAGUGCAUCAGUCUGGGGGGUGCAAGGCAGGCGUGUGUCCCCCCCGUGCCUCCCUCCCACCUACACAUCGAUCCUGUUGGAUCAGGUUGCAGCCCCAGCCCUGUGGGGCCGAACCAAGAUGAAAAGCUCCCGCCCUACAGAGAAA